GACCCCAGGUCAGGCGGGAUUACCCGCUGAGUUU
rnacentral:rRNA from 4 species